AGCCUUUUCAAAGUCCACUGUGAGAUUUUCUGAUUUUCUGCAGCUGUAACCAAUCUUACUGUCAACCUCUGAGAAUUGUGCUGUUUGCUCCCUGAAGAGAUGAAGGGCAAAGUUGAGCUCGGCAGGACUCGAAUUCAGAACGAAAAGAGCCAGAAGAAAUGUUAAACAUUCUGCGGGCACUCCGUCUCGCCACAUCGAUCAUACGUGAAAAUGUUACAAAGAGAAGCCAUGUUGUUUGUUGUGUUGUCGAUGGUUUUGUUCCUGAUAAAUCCCGCCGAACUCAUCUGGAUGCCGUCAUCUCCAUGUGCACUCAAUACAGUGAACUGCUUGAAGAGCAAAAGUUGUGUUAAAGAUUUAUAUCGCUGCAAAUGUAAGCCCUUUGGUGCAUCUUC
rnacentral:lncRNA from 1 species